CGGGAACUGCCCGGCACGUGCCGUUCGAACAUCCCUGAGGCUAUAAGCAAUCCAAUGGGGGCUGUCCCUGCCCGGACCCUGGUCCGACGCAUAUGGCCCCCACCUGACGUCGAGGCGUCAGAGGAUUUCUAGGAAACGACCCAUGGUGGGCCCGUC
rnacentral:sRNA from 1 species